AUGACUACUUCCUCAAAAACUUUCCUACUGCUUUAACACACACCACUCCCAAACCUUCUUUAUCCUAACAAGUUCAUUAUGGUGAAGCAAAAAAUAGUGAUCAAGGUGCAAUUAAUGAACACCUCAAAAGCAAGGUCCAAUGCUAUGAAGAUUGCAGUUGGAAUGUUAUUUAAUAAAACUCACUUUAAACUUAAUUUUCACCAUAAAUUAAUUAUUUUAUAUGGAUAUGCUAACUAGCUAGUGCAAGUGGGACACUAGUUAAAGAAAUCCAAAAUAAUAAGUUUUGUAUUGAAAGAAUGUUCUUUUAUAGGGUGAAUUCUUCGGUGCAUAUUUUAUUUGAAUAUGUACCAAUAAAAUUCUAGUAGAUCCACAAAUUGUAUUUAUUAAUUUUUUUAUAAAUUUAAAAUACUAAUCGUACAUAAUAAGAUGUGUAUUAUGAUUUACCUCUUAAUAUUUUUAAAAACUAAAUUACACAGGUUCCAAGAUUAUUUUUUUUUUCUUAUUUAGUUUCUUAAUUGGUGCAUCAGGGCACUAGUUUAGUAAUUUGCUAUUUUAUUCAAAAAGUUCAAUAAAUAUAACCAUAUAUUGUUUUACAAAAUUGAUCAUGAGCAAAAAAUAAUAUUUAGGAGUGGAAAGUGCAGCUAUUGGAGGAGAUAACAAGGAUCAAAUAGAGGUAAUUGGAGAGAUGGACCCAGUUAGACUCACAAAUCUACUAAGAAAGAGAUUCUGUCGUGCAGAAUUGCUUAGUGUUGAAGAAAAGAAAGAAGAGAA